UACGGAGGAUGCGGGCGUUAUCCGGAUUUAUUGGGUUUAAAGGGUGCGUAGGCGGAUUUUUAAGUCAGCGGUAAAAUGUCCGGGCUCAACCCGGGCCGGCCGUUGAAACUGGGGAUCUUGAGUGGGCGAGAAGUAUGCGGAAUGCGUGGUGUAGCGGUGAAAUGCAUAGAUAUCACGCAGAACUCCGAUUGCGAAGGCAGCAUACCGGCGCCCGACUGACGCUGAGGCACGAAAGCGUGGGGAUCGAACAGG
rnacentral:rRNA from 1 species